GCCUGCGGCCCACCUCCACCCUUGUCUCUAUACACCUGUUGCUUUGGCGGGCCCACCGGGGCCACCUGGUCGCCGGGGGACGCACGUCUCCGGGCCCGCGCCCGCCGAAGCGCUCUGUGAACCCUGAUGAAGAUGGGCUGUCUGAGUACUGUGAAAAUUGUCAAAACUUUCAACAAUGGAUCUCUUGGUUCCGGCAUCGAUGAAGAACGCAGCGAAAUGCGAUAAGUAAUGUGAAUUGCAGAAUUCCGUGAAUCAUCGAAUCUUUGAACGCACAUUGCGCCCCCUGGCAUUCCGGGGGGCAUGCCUGUCCGAGCGUCAUUUCUGCCCUCAAGCACGGCUUGUGUGUUGGGUGUGGUCCCCCCGGGGGCCUGCCCGAAAGGCAGCGGCGACGUCCGUCUGGUCCUCGAGCGUAUGGGGCUCUGUCACUCGCUCGGGAAGGACCUGCGGGGGUUGGUCACCACCAUGUUUUACCACGGUUGACCUCGGAUCAGGUAGGAGUUACCCGCUGAACUUAAGCAUAUCAAUAAGCGGAGGAAUC
rnacentral:rRNA from 1 species